GCCUCAGUAGUGUAAUAGUAAAGCACGCGUUCCCGGUAUGGAUGAAGUGUGGAUUCGAUUUCCACCUGAGGCC